ensembl:lncRNA
AGCACCUUCAAACAUGGCUAGGCUGAUAGAGCACCUUCAAACAUGGCUAGGCUGAUAGAGCACCUUCAACAUGGCUAGGCUGAUAGAGCACCUUCAACAUGGCUAGGCUGAUAGAGCACCUUCAAACAUGGCUAGGCUGAUAUAACAUAAUUAGAUUACCAAAGUUAAUGAUGCCUUCUUGAACUAUGUGUUUAAACUAUAGCAAUACAGUAGGAUGUUCUUACUAGUAGAAGUCUUGAAUGAAUGAACAAUCCAUGAGUAAUCCACGUGGAGAUUGAAGCUGUGUUUUAUAGUUGUAAGUGGAAAUGUUGAUAUUUGGUUAUGAACUCAGACAGCCACGUAGGUUGCUCCAGAGGGUAGUGGAUAUGAACUCAGACAGCUGAGUAGGUUGCUCAGAGGGUAGUGGAUAUGACAGACAGCCAAGUAGGUUGCUCAGAGGGUAGUGGAUAUGACAGACAGCCACGUAGGUUGCUCAGGGUAGUCCAGAUUUAUGUUUGUUAUGUGACGGCCUUACAUGAGAAUGACUGACCAGGGCUGCAAAAUUCAGCCAACUUUCUCGAAUUUCCCACAUAUUCCAUAAAUCAGUGUUGGAAGAUUCACGGAAUCAAGCGGGAAUAAGCAAGAAAUCCAACAUUCCAACCAGGAAUUCUGGAAAUCCAAUUAUUAAAAAAACAUUUUUAAGUUACCAGAGUUUUUCAAACCUGUGAAUGUGGUUUAGAAUCUCAGGGUUUUUAACCCCUACAAGAUGAGUGUUUAACAUAUUGUAUAUGAUGGUACAAGUGUAACAGAGGUUAUUUGGCUCGGAUAAACCAGUGGUUCACCACCAAGUAAUGUACUCCAUGCUCUGCCCUCUACCUCCUCAUGAGUCUUUGACCAGUAAGCCUGUGGUCUCAUGAGUCUCCUCAAGUAGCCCCUGUGGAUUGGCCAAUUACCCCAAAGGGUUCUAGUACCACUGGUUGUGAACCACUGGGGUUACUAUGCUUGAAUGGUGAAUAACUUUGCCUGAGAUCUGAAGACUCGCGUUAGCACCCUAGGGUAAUGCCUUGGCUUUAACUCAGCGGGCUAACACAGUCUAUGAAGGCGCUCAAUGGCCUGGGUAUGUGGGUUUGAAUACCUGGUUGAUCAUUCUCACCCCUAUGUUUUGGGUAUUGGUUGGUUCGUUCUGUGAUGACAGGCUUGGGGCUUAAAUAUCAACACAUUCCCUAUAUAGGGCCAUACUUUUCCCCCCCAGUUAAAAGUAAGGGCUUACUACUUAGUCAUAGGACCCAGUCAAAAGUAGGAUACUAUAUAGGGAAUAGGGUGCCAUUUAUGGACGCACUCAAAUACUGUCUCACACAUAUUGAUGAUAUUGUCGCUUAUAUCCUGUUGGGUGAAGCUUUGUGCCUUACUCUGAGACCACAGUGUGGUCUGACCUUAUUAAAGAUGUCUCUGUGUAGCUGGGACCUCAGUGUGGUCUGACCUUAUUAAAGAUGUCUCUGUGUAGCUGGGACCUCAGUGUGGUCUGACCUUAUUAAAGAUGUCUCUGUGUAGCUGGGACCUCAGUGUGGUCUGACCUUAUUAAAGAUGUCUCUGUGUAGCUGGGACCUCAGUGUGGUCUGACCUUAUUAAAGAUGUCUCUUUCUACUGCUCAGGUACCGGUAAUAGACCUCAGCCCAUUCAGUUCUAGCCAAUGAUAUAGCGUCAACGCCAAACAAACUAAUAUUUAGCCCCAACUACCCUCCCCCCUAGGUCCUAGGCAAAUGUAGUAGAUCUGAAAGUGUUGGAUAGACGCGAGUAGCAACGCAACAUGGUAAAUAACACCUCCACCUUGUCCUCUGAUGAGGCUAGGUGUCACCAUGUUUAUACCUAUCCAAUCCUUACAGAUUUACCAAGUGCCCAGAGCUAGGUGCUAAGUGGAAGAGAUGAAUAAUAUCAGUUGGCUGCUCAGUUCAACUCAGUACUUUUGCCAUCCAGGAGUAUAAAAAGUUACCAAUUCUGUUUCAAGAGACAAUUGGAACGUCCAUUUAUUUCCAGGAUUGACUGAAUUGAAAUGGAACCGAGCCCAACCAUGAAAGAUUGACUGAAUUGAAAUGGAACCGAGCCCAACCAUGAAAGAUUGACUGAAUUGAAAUGGAACCGAGCCCAACCAUGAAAGAUUGACUGAAUUGAAAUGGAACUGAGCCCAACCAUGAAAGAUUGACUGAAUUGAAAUGGAAUUGAGCCCAACCAUGAAAGAUUGACUGAAUUGAAAUGGAACUGAGCCCAACCAUGAAAGAUUGACUGAAUUGAAAUGGAACUGAGCCCAACCAUGAAAGAUUAACUGAAUUGAAAUGGAACCGAGCCCAACCAUGAAAGAAUGACUGAAUUGAAAUGGAACCGAGCCCAACCAUGAAAGAAUGACUGAAUUGAAAUGGGACCGAGCCCAACCAUGAAAGAAUGACUGAAUUGAAAUGGAACUGAGCCCAACCAUGAAAGUAACCUUGCUCUGUGAUGAGGGAUGACAUAUGAUUACUUCAAGGAAACGUGUUUUAUAUUACAAAAUACAUGUGAGGGUUGAUUCACUUGCUUUGGGUUCUUACUUUUUCCCUAUAUGGUACUAGUAAUAAUAUAGGAUGUUGAGUGUGUUUAUAAUGGGAGUGGAUACCUAUGUGUGACUGUUACUGCUUGUUGCUCAGGGGGUAGAAUGUAUGAAGCAAUAUCAUUCGAAACAUUUCUAGCUUUAAAACAAAACAAAAAAAACUCAGUGUGCAUGGGGGUGUGUCUUGGUUCUGUGAAUCAGGAAGUCACAGAGAUGGACACCCAAUGAGAUGUCAUGUUGCUUUUGUGUAGCCACUCGCAAGCUUCUGUACCAAAAUUGACACAUUUGAGUUUUUCCCAUGAAAUAUGUGUUUCAUCCUGGGAUGCCUCUUCCUGUAUCUAAUACGUCAUGUUGGGUUAAAUGUGUCUGACCCAACUGUCCUCAAUAAAACUGACUUGGUGAAAGAUGUAUUUUUAUUUUUUAUUUUUUGCUGUUGUGAACAAAAUCCACAGACAAGAACACACGAUUGGUGAUUUGAAAAUAGUUUAUAGCAUUUAAAAUAUAUAUUUAGGUGUUUUCACAAACAAUUCAGCCUAAUAACCCUUGACACUGAAUGGUACUGAAAGCCAUGUAGACUAUUGUAGCCUGGGUACCAGUCUG